GACGCGCAGCAGGCCCCGCCCACCCAGGCGGUAGGAACCCACUCCGGCCCGCUAGACCUGCUGCUAUGUCCCGGCCGCAGCUUCGACGCUGGCGCCUCGUCUCUAGCCCGCCGAGCGGCGUCCCGGGUCUAGCGCUGCUGGCGCUGCUGGCGCUGCUGGCGCUGCGGCUCGCGGCCGGGACCGACUGCCCAUGCCCGGAGCCUGAGCUCUGCCGCCCGAUUCGCCACCAUCCAGAUUUCGAGGUCUUUGUGUUUGAUGUUGGACAGAAAACUUGGAAAUCUUAUGAUUGGUCACAGAUUACAACUGUGGCAACAUUUGGAAAAUAUGACUCAGAACUUAUGUGCUACGCUCAUUCAAAAGGAGCCAGAGUAGUACUUAAAGGUAACCUUUGAUGUAGCUUGGUCUCCAAAGAACAUAGACAGAAGAUGCUAUAAUUAUACUGGAAUCGCAGAUGCUUGUGACUUCCUCUUUGUGAUGUCUUAUGAUGAACAAAGUCAGAUCUGGUCAGAAUGUAUUGCAGCAGCCAAUGCUCCCUAUAAUCAGACAUUAACUGGAUAUAAUGACUACAUCAAGAUGAGCAUUAAUCCUAAGAAACUUGUAAUGGGUGUUCCUUGGUAUGGUUAUGAUUAUACCUGCCUGAAUCUGUCUGAGGAUCAUGUUUGUACCAUUGCAAAAGUCCCUUUCCGGGGGGCUCCUUGUAGUGACGCUGCAGGACGUCAGGUGCCCUACAAAACGAUCAUGAAGCAAAUAAAUAGUUCUAUUUCUGGAAACCUAUGGGAUAAAGAUCAGCGGGCUCCUUAUUAUAACUAUAAAGAUCCUGCUGGCCACUUUCAUCAAGUAUGGUAUGAUAACCCUCAGAGUAUUUCUUUAAAGGCAACAUAUAUACAAAACUAUCGCUUACGGGGCAUUGGCAUGUGGAAUGCAAACUGUCUUGACUACUCUGGAGAUGCUGUAGCCAAACAGCAAACUGAAGAAAUGUGGGAAGUCUUAAAGCCAAAGCUGUUACAGAGAUGAACAUCUUUUGUCAAACCAUUAAGAGUUAGAAAGAUGAUCUGUAUCAACAGAUCUAGUUUCUUGCAUUUUUAUUAUGUUGCUAUAUACUUUUGUUAUCCGUAUACUAAAAAAAAAGAAUAAAUAAAUGUUUUGAUUGUUUGAAUUUGAAAAAUACACACGAAUGUCCUCAGUAUCCAGGAACAUAAAGGCAAGAAGCAAGUCAACUUACCUAUUAAAUAUUCCUCUAUUAGAUGUUUCAACACUAUAAUUUAAUUGGGAAAAAUUGCUUUCAGAAUUUUAUUAUGCCAUAUUUCCCUUCAUUAUAGUAAAAUAUAUGCUCACGAAUCAAUGCUGAUUUUUAAAAUAUGUAUAAUCUGAAGUGGAAAUUGUUUGCUUAGAGUUUUUAAAAACCUAGUCUUUGAAAAGCAGUUUGUGCUAUACUUUUCCCCCAACCCUCCAAUAAAUCUUAAAUUUAAAACCUACAAUGUAGUGUCUCCCCUUUAGGUUCAUCAAACUGAUGAAAAUAAUUUUUCUGCUUCCUGACUCCAUAUAGUAUUUAUGUUCUCUGAGGUACUUGAACUAAAUCUUUGGACAGUGAGUGAGAAUUAAAAAGAAUCCAGAAGAUUAAAUGUAUUCACAAAAUAGAAGAAUGUAACAGUAAUAUUUUGAAUUGGUAAGUUAGAACUACCUAAUAUUUUCCAACUACAUUAUUUUUAUGAGGCUCAUUUGUAAAAUUUUUAAUAAUAGGAAUAACUUGCAGUUGAACUUGAUUCUGUUCACUGUCACACUUCUAAUUAUUCAUUUCUUCAUUUAUGGACAUAUAUAAUUUAUUUCUUGGCUAGCUUGCUUACAUGGUUAAAUUUUUCUUUCUACAUCUGCAAUGUAUCUUUUUUAUUUUUAUUUUUUGUAGAGACAGGGUCUCGCUAUGUUGUCCAGAUGGGUCUCCAACUCCUGGGCUCAAGCACUCCUCCUGCCUUGGCUUCCUAAAGAGCUGGGAUUACAGGCAUGAGCUGCAUUGUGCUUUUAAUGAUCUAAAGACACUGAUUAGCUUCUCAACUAGUUCUCUUUCUAAAAGAUCAAUUUUAUACAAAUAAGUUUUCUAAAUGUAAUAAAGUCUGUUUUCUUUCUCCAGGGAAUUAAGAACAACAUUGUGCUGCCCUUAUUAGUUCCUAAUUACAGAUUAAAAAUCUGUAUCUUUGAACUCUAGAUUUACAUAAAUCCUGGCUUCCCUGCACAUUUUGCCCCUGUAAAUUGGAAUACAUGAUGAUUGAACCAUCUGUUAUGAGAAUAUUACAUUUCCUAUUUACACAAUUGUUUGUGACAGAGUAAAAACCAUUUUCAUAGUAUAUGUUGGAUCACUGUUGUCUUCAUAUUUCUAAAAUAAAUGAAUUAAAAAAUUUAAAUUCUUAGAUGCUUAUCUCUAUCAUAGCUCAGAAUGCAACUUCAAUACCCCCAUUCUUUUAUAUUUCCAGAUUUCUUUUAAUUAAGAUAUAAUGAACAAAUUAAGUUAAAUGAAGUCUGUAUUUUCAUGCAAAUAUAUUAGUAUUCAUUAAUAUACAUUUAUUCUUUGCAAAUAGAUUUUAGUUAUAUUAGCUCUUAAAUUGUUAAAUAAAUUAUUAUUGAAUUUUAUUAUUAAAUUAUUAAAAUGAAAAUUAUAAAAUUAGCACUGUAAAAUAAUAUGUAAAGGACUUGGAAUGUUAAAAAUAACCAUUCAUCAUUUUGCUUUAUAUUACAUCUAAUAUUUCCUGAAACAUUUUGUAAUACCCACAUGGAAAGUGGAGAAAGAGAAACCUUGUGCUUUUUAUAAAACAUUGCCAAGGAGAAUAAUGGUUAAACAAAUCUGUUCAAAUACAUAUUUAAAUUUUUUUACAAAUAAAAGUUUUAAAUUAACAUACCUAA
rnacentral:lncRNA from 1 species